rfam:Triticum aestivum genome assembly, contig: Triticum_aestivum_CS42_TGACv1_scaffold_526430_6DL
UUUGUACUCCCUCCGUUCGGAAUUACUUGUCAUCAAAAUGGAUGUAUCUAGAACUAAAAUACAUCUAGAUACACUCAUUUCAAUGACAAGUAUUUCCGAACGGAGGGAGUACAAA